rnacentral:rRNA from 1 species
UACGUAGGGGGCAAGCGUUGUCCGGAAUCAUUGGGCGUAAAGCGCGUGUAGGCGGUCUGGUCAGUCGGUUGUGAAAGUCAAGGGCUCAACCCUUGAAUGCCGGCCGAUACUGCCGGGCUAGAGUCCGGAAGAGGUGAGUGGAAUUCCUGGUGUAGCGGUGAAAUGCGCAGAUAUCAGGAGGAACACCGAUGGCGAAGGCAGCUCACUGGGAAGGUACUGACGCUGAGACGCGAAAGCGUGGGGAGCAAACAGG